GGGUGUGGCUCAGUGGUAGAGUGCUUGCCUAGCAUGCAUGAGGCACUGGGUUUGAUCCUCAGCACCACA
rnacentral:tRNA from 1 species